rnacentral:rRNA from 1 species
AGCAGCCGCGGUAAUUCCAGCUCCAAUAGCGUAUAUUAAAGUUGUUGCAGUUAAAAAGCUCGUAGUUGAAUUUCGGGGUCAGUAGAUUGGUCGUGCCACUGGUAUGUACUGGUCUUACUGGCUCCUCCUUCCUGAUGAACCGUAAUGCCAUUAAUUUGGUGUUGCGGGGAAACUGGACUGUUACUUUGAAAAAAUUAGAGUGUUUAAAGCAGGCUAACGCUUGAAUACAUUAGCAUGGAAUAAUGAAAUAGGACGUUCGAUCUUAUUUUGUUGGUUUCUAGGAUUGACGUAAUGAUUAAUAGGGAUAGUUGGGGGCGUUAGUAUUCAAUUGUCAGAGGUGAAAUUCUUGGAUUUAUUGAAGACUAACUACUGCGAAAGCAUUUGCCAAGGAUGUUUUCAUUAAUCAAGAACGAAAGUUAGGGGAUCGAAGACGAUCAGAUACCGUCGUAGUCUUAACCAUAAACUAUGCCGACUAGGGAUCGGAUGAUGUUAAUUUUUUAAUGACUCAUUCGGCGCCUUA